CUUCUUGUAUCAUUGUGUUACACAUAGUCUUGGUAUUUAUGCGCCUCAUGAUAGUGUUGAGUCCGAAACAGAGAGUUUCUUGGUUCCAAAUCUUCCUGAAAAGAUUGAGAUGAAAAGAUGUCAGCUGCAAGAGCAUGUUAAGAUUAAAACAAGGUAUGGUGAAUUGAUCAAAGCAAUUAAAGAGUCUGAGCAGAAGAGCUAUGGUUUGGUUCAUCACACUUUUUAUGAGCUUGAGCCUGCUUAUGCAGAUCAUUAUGGUGAAAUCAAGAAAAGUAAGUUCUGGCACAUUGGUCCCAUUUUUCAGUUCUUCAAAAAGGCUGAAACUGAAAGAUCUAGUGGCUCUCCAUCUGAGCAACACUUUUGUUUGAGUUGGUUAGAUUCACAAAAGUCUGAAUCUGUUGUCUUCAUAUGUUUUGGAAGUAUGGUCAGAUUCUCUGAUGCUCAGCUUACUGAGAUCGCAUUAGCCCUCGAGGCCUCCAACACUCAGUUCAUUUGGGUAGUCCGCAAAAUGAUUGAAAAUCAAGAAAAUCAAGAAACGUGGUUGC
rnacentral:lncRNA from 1 species